CAGCCGCCGCGGGAAUACGUAGGUGGCAAGCGUUGUCCGGAAUUAUUGGGCGCAAAGGGCUCGCAGGCGGUUUCUUAAGUCUGAUGUGAAAGCCCCCGGCUCAACCGGGGAGGGUCAUUGGAAACUGGGAAACUUGAGUGCAGAAGAGGAGAGUGGAAUUCCACGUGUAGCGGUGAAAUGCGUAGAGAUGUGGAGGAACACCAGUGGCGAAGGCGACUCUCUGGUCUGUAACUGACGCUGAGGAGCGAAAGCGUGGGGAGCGAACAGGAUUAGAUACCCCCGUAGUCCCUGUCUCUUAUAC
rnacentral:rRNA from 1 species